rnacentral:rRNA from 1 species
GACGAACGCUGGCGUCGUGCUUAACACAUGCAAGUCGAACGGAAAGGCCCUGCUUUUGUGGGGUGCUCGAGUGGCGAACGGGUGAGUAACACGUGAGUAACCUGCCCUUGACUUUGGGAUAACUUCAGGAAACUGGGGCUAAUACCGGAUAGGAGCUCCUGCUGCAUGGUUGGGGUUGGAAAGUUUCGGCGGUUGGGGAUGGACUCGCGGCUUAUCAGCUUGUUGGUGGGGUAGUGGCUUACCAAGGCUUUGACGGGUAGCCGGCCUGAGAGGGUGACCGGCCACAUUGGGACUGAGAUACGGCCCAGACUCCUACGGGAGGCAGCAGUGGGGAAUAUUGCACAAUGGGCGGAAGCCUGAUGCAGCAACGCCGCGUGCGGGAUGACGGCCUUCGGGUUGUAAACCGCUUUCGCCUGUGACGAAGCGUGAGUGACGGUAAUGGGUAAAGAAGCACCGGCUAACUACGUG